CCUACGGGGGGCAGCAGUGGGGAAUAUUGGGCAAUGGGCGCAAGCCUGACCCAGCAACGCCGCGUGAAGGAAGAAGGCUUUCGGGUUGUAAACUUCUUUUCUGAGGGACGAAGAAAGUGACGGUACCUCAGGAAUAAGCCACGGCUAACUACGUGCCAGCAGCCGCGGUAAUACGUAGGUGGCAAGCGUUAUCCGGAUUUAUUGGGUGUAAAGGGCGUGUAGGCGGGAAAGCAAGUCAGAUGUGAAAACUCAGGGCUCAACCCUGAGCCUGCAUUUGAAACUGUUUUUCUUGAGUGCUGGAGAGGCAAUCGGAAUUCCGUGUGUAGCGGUGAAAUGCGUAGAUAUACGGAGGAACACCAGUGGCGAAGGCGGAUUGCUGGACAGUAACUGACAUUGAUGCUCGAAAGUGUGGGUAUCAAACAGGAUUAGAUACCCGUGUAGUC
rnacentral:rRNA from 1 species